rnacentral:rRNA from 1 species
UAAUACGAGGGGUCCAAGCGUUGUUCGGAAUCACUGGGCGUAAAGCGGGUGUAGGUGGCCAAGCAAGUUGGAUGUGAAAGCCCCGGGCUCAACCCGGGAAGUGCAUCCAAAACUACAUGGCUUGAGUAAGGGAGAGAAAGGUAGAAUUCCAGGUGUAGUGGUGAAAUACGUAGAUAUCUGGAGGAACACCGGUGGCGAAGGCGGCCUUUUGGCCCAUUACUGACACUCAGACCCGAAAGCGUGGGUAGCAAACAGG